rnacentral:lncRNA from 1 species
GGGAAAUUGUGCUUUGGAUAAUGAUGGUUUUGGUUAACGACGGUUCCGUUGGAACGGAUUACCAUCGUUAACCAAGGUACCACUGUAUAUUGUUGUUAUGUGCCAUCAAGUCGAGUUCAACUUCUGGUGACUGUUUGGACAAAUGCUCGCCAUUCAGACUUGUUUUUGGUCAGAUCACAGUUCUCUCAAAGUAUUUCCAGUAGUUGUCUUGGUCCUAUCUAUCCAUCUUAUUCGUUGUCGUCCUCUUCUUCUGCCUCCCUCAACCUUUCCAAGCAUAAUCAUCUUUUCCAGUCCAUGCUUUGCUCGCAUCACAUGUACAAAAUAUGAAAGCUGCUGUUUGGUGAU